UACGAAGGGGGCUAGCGUUGCUCGGAUUGACUGGGCGUAAAGGGCGCGUAGGCGGUUUGUACAGUCAGACGUGAAAUUCCUGGGCUCAACCUGGGGGCUGCGUUUGAUACGUGCAGACUUGAGUUCGGAAGAGGGUCGUGGAAUUCCCAGUGUAGAGGUGAAAUUCGUAGAUAUUGGGAAGAACACCGGUGGCGAAGGCGGCGACCUGGUCCGAUACUGACGCUGAGGCGCGAAAAGCGUGGGGAGCAAACAGG
rnacentral:rRNA from 1 species